AGGGAAAAGAUUGAAUAGGGAAUCCGGUGGAAAUCCGGGACUGUGCCCUCAGCUGUAAGUUCUUAAAAAGGUUUUCGCAUUCUAAUGGUCACUUUUUCAACAAGAAAAGGGAAGGCCGCGAAUUCCGGAACAAGUCAGAAGACCUGCCUGACAAAAUA
rnacentral:ncRNA from 1 species